rnacentral:rRNA from 1 species
GCAGCCGCGGUAAUACGGAGGAUGCAAGCGUUAUCCGGAUUUAUUGGGUUUAAAGGGUGCGUAGGCGGUUACUGUAAGUCAGUGGUGAAAUUUUGAUGCUUAACAUUAAAAGUGCCAUAGAUACUGCAGAGCUGGAAUGGGGAUGCUGUCAGCGGAAUGUGUAGUGUAGCGGUGAAAUGCAUAGAUAUUACACAGAACACCGAUUGCGAAGGCAGCUGACAAAUCCUUUAUUGACGCUGAUGCACGAAAGUGUGGGGAUCAAACAGGAUUAGAUACCCC